UUCUGAUAUUGCAUCCCAAAACUAGGCUUUAUGCUCCAGUUUGUAUUCCUUAAAGACUCAACAUAAUUCUAAUGAGACCCAUAUUGGGAUAUUUCAUAUGCACAUGGGACAAUGCUGGUGUUAUUCACACAAAAAUUCUAGAUUGCAUGCAUUCAAAAGAAGUCUAUUUAAUUGAUUGGUAUUCACCACUAUCUCUCAAAUUGUAUUUUCUCACCAUCUCUUCUACAACUACUACUAUGGCCUUUGCUUUCAGAAGUAACAAGCUGCCAAGCCUUUUAUCCUGGCUACCAAAGACAAUCCUUUCUCCUGCUCUCAUUACCUUUACAGCAUUAUUCUCCACCAUCCUCUGAUGUAUCCUGAACUAAAUAGUUUGCCCAUUUAUUCCUAACUAAUAAAUUGCAGCUUUUUAAAACUCAUUCUCCAUCUAUGUUUUUUCCUCAGACAUCAAUCAGCAAAUUUUCCAAAUGAAUAUCAACUGCAUCAAUUGUAUGUCUAAGAGGGCCUACAAUGUUAAUGAGAUCUAUCUGACUUCCACUAACUAACUAAUAGAAAAGCAAAGUUAAUCUACCUACAGUUUAUGAUUCCUUUCAUAUGUAUCAUUUAAGGUCAAGAUAUCAUAGUAUGAAGAUAAGUUUUCAUAGAGGUAAAUCUGAAACUUCAUUUCUUUUAUGCCUCACCAUUAGGAAAGACAUAUUUGUCAGAAAGACUAUUAAGACCAUGGAUCAUUAUUAAACAUCAGGCCAGUUAGAGAGAAGAGACAGCUUGUUUGUGAACUAGAGAAUGGAGAAUGCCUGUGAGUGAUUAAUGCCAAUCAGUCAGGUAAACUUUUCUGGAUGCAAAGUAUGCUUGCUUCAUUUCUUUUGUAAUGUUUGUAAAUUCUGUGCAUAAAAGGUUCAUUGUCUCACUACCAAGCAGCAUCACACUUCAAACACAAGUACUAUACAAUCCACUCUUCACUCUGAAAGAGAAACCUUUUGCUACCAACAUGGGUAAUAUCUUUCUGAACUUUCUCCAUGCCAUUCUUUUACUAUUACACUUUUGAAGCACUCACUUUCACUGCUAUUUAGGUUACCUAGGUAAAGAAAACUAUCAACUAUUUAUAAUGAGCUUUCUGAGUAUUCAAAGGAAUUUAUUUUUCUUGUAUUCUUACUACUAAUUACUCCUGUGAAUCUUCCACAUACACAAUCUAACUUCAUUAUCACCAGCCUGUGAUCAUACGACACCUCUUGCACAUCAUAUGGAAUUUCUACCUCUUUCUUUGCUACUUAUUGAACACAAUGAUUACUCUGAUAGCAAUUAGAGCCUGAUUUCUUCUUGAUUUACUAAAACUUAGUCAUUGCUAAGUUUAUUUUGAGGUCUCUUAAUUCUAGGUUUUGCUUUUAUGUAUGGAAUUUCUUCUCUAAAUCUUCAGAUUCAGUUAUAAGAAUCAGGUCAUCAACAUAGUGGAGUUCCCACGAAAAACUAAUCUUAAACUCCUCUGUUAUGGCCAAGUCCUCUCAAGAAUAC